UACAGAGACCUCAAGCGUUAUCCGGAAUCAUUGGGCGUAAAGCGUACCGAUAGGUGGUUAAGAAAGUCAGAAGUGAAAUCUCUCAGCUUAACUGGGAGACUGUCUUUUGAAACUUCUUAACUAGAGGGGCAAAGAGGAAGCUGGAACGAACGGUGUAGUAGUGAAAUGCGUUGAUAUCGUUCGGAACACCAAUAGCGUAGGCAGGCUUCUGGGUGCCACCUGACACUGCUAGGACGAAAGCGUGGGGAGCGAAUGGG
rnacentral:rRNA from 1 species